rnacentral:rRNA from 1 species
CAUGCCCUAAACGAUGUCAACUAGCUGUUGGGGGUUGAAAUCCUCAGUAGCGCAGCUAACGCGUGAAGUUGACCGCCUGGGGAGUACGGCCGCAAGGUUAAAACUCAAAGGAAUUGACGGGGACCCGCACAAGCGGUGGAUGAUGUGGAUUAAUUCGAUGCAACGCGAAAAACCUUACCUGGUCUUGACAUGCCAAGAAGCUUUCAGAGAUGAGAGGGUGCCCGAAAGGGAACUUGGACACAGGUGC